UAGGGAAUCUUCGGCAAUGGGGGGAACCCUGACCGAGCAACGCCGCGUGAGUGAAGAAGGUUUUCGGAUCGUAAAGCUCUGUUGUUAAGGAAGAACGAGUGUGAGAAUGGAAAGUUCAUGCUGUGACGGUACUUAACCAGAAAGGGACGGCUAACUACGUGCCAGCAGCCGCGGUAAUACGUAGGUCCCGAGCGUUGUCCGGAUUUAUUGGGCGUAAAGCGAGCGCAGGCGGUCAAUUAAGUCUGAUGUGAAAGCCCCCGGCUCAACCGGGGAGGGUCAUUGGAAACUGGUUGACUUGAGUGCAGAAGAGGAGAGUGGAAUUCCAAGUGUAGCGGUGAAAUGCGUAGAUAUAUGGAGGAACACCAGUGGCGAAGGCGACUCUCUGGUCUGUAACUGACGCUGAGGCUCGAAAGCGUGGGUAGCAAACAGG
rnacentral:rRNA from 1 species